rnacentral:tRNA from 1 species
GGAGAGUAAGCGAUUGGCUAGCGGGCAUCCUGGAAAGGUGCUAAGAGGUAUCCCCUCGGCUGGGUUCGAUUCCCAGGCUUUCCUCCA